rnacentral:rRNA from 1 species
CUAAUACAUGCAAGUCGAACGAGAGUAGCAAUACUCUAGUGGCGAACGGGUGAGUAACACGUAGGAAACCUACCUCAAAGACGAGGAUAACUACUGGAAACGGUAGCUAAAACUGGAUAGGAUAUACAAAGGCAUCUUAGUAUAUUUAAAAGUCCUUCUGGGAAUGCUAUGAGAUGGUCCUGCGGCGCAUUAGCUAGUUGGUGAGGUAAAGGCCCACCAAGGCGACGAUGCGUAGCUGUGCUGAGAGGCAAAACAGCCACACUGGGACUGAGACACGGCCCAGACUCCUACGGGAGGCAGCAGUAGGGAAUUUUCGGCAAUGGGCGAAAGCCUGACCGAGCAAUGCCGCGUGAAUGAAGAAAUUCUUCGGAAUGUAAAAUUCUGUGGUGAGGGAAGAAAGGUAUUAGAAGGAAAUGGCUAAUAUUUGACGGUACCUUACUAGAAAGCCCCGGCUAACUAUGUGCCAGCAGCCGCGGUAAUACAUAGGGGGCAAGCGUUAUCCGGAAUUAUUGGGCGUAAAGCGUGCGUAGGCGGCCACUUAAGUCUGUCGUGAAAGCCCACAGCUUAACUGUGGAGGGUCGAUGGAAACUGAGAGGCUUGAAUCUAGGAGAGGUAAGUGGAAUUCCAUGUGUAGCGGUAAAAUGCUUAGAUAUAUGGAGGAACACCAGUGGCGAAGGCGGCUUACUGGUCUAGAAUUGACGCUGAUGCACGAAAGCGUGGGUAGCAAACAGGAUUAGAUACCCUGGUAGUCCACGCCGUAAACGAUGAUUACUAGGUGUUGGGGAUUUAUAAAUCCCCGGUGCCGUCGCAAACGCAAUAAGUAAUCCACCUGGGGAGUACGUUCGCAAGAAUGAAACUCAAAGGAAUUGACGGGGACCC